rnacentral:rRNA from 1 species
GCUAAACGCGAAGAACCUUACCUACACUUGACAUGCCUCUUAGGACUUUCAGAGAUGAUUGUUUUCGGUUCGGCCGGGGAGUGCACAGGUGCUGCAUGGCUGUCGUCAGCUCGUGUCGUGAGAUGUUGGGUUAAGUCCCGGCAACCGAGCGCAACCCUUAUCCGUAUGUUGCCAGCAUUUAGUUGGGCACUCAUGCGAGACUGCCGGUGAUAAGCCGGAGGAAGGCGGGGACGACGGUCAAGUCAUCAUGGCCCUUACGUGUAGGGCUACAAACGUGCUACAAUGGUGGUGACAAUGGGCAGCGAGGUCGUGAGGCCAAGCUAAUCCUAAAAAGCCAAUCUCAGUUCAGAUUGUACUCUGCAACUCGAGUACAUGAAGUUGGAAUCGCUAGUAAUCGUGGAUCAGCAUGCCACGGUGAAUACGUUCCCGGGUCUUGUACACACCG